rnacentral:rRNA from 1 species
CCAGAUGGGAUUAGCUUGUUGGUGGGGUAACGGCUCACCAAGGCGACGAUCCCUAGCUGGUCUGAGAGGAUGACCAGCCACACUGGAACUGAGACACGGUCCAGACUCCUACGGGAGGCAGCAGUGGGGAAUAUUGCACAAUGGGCGCAAGCCUGAUGCAGCCAUGCCGCGUGUAUGAAGAAGGCCUUCGGGUUGUAAAGUACUUUCAGCGGGGAGGAAGGGAGUAAAGUUAAUACCUUUGCUCAUUGACGUUAUCCGCAGAAGAAGCACCGGCUAACUCCGUGCCAGCAGCCGCGGUAAUACGGAGGGUGCAAGCGUUAAUCGGAAUUACUGGGCGUAAAGCGCACGCAGGCGGUUUGUUAAGUCAGAUGUGAAAUCCCCGGGCUCAACCUGGGAACUGCAUCUGAUACUGGCAAGCUUGAGUCUCGUAGAGGGGGGUAGAAUUCCAGGUGUAGCGGUGAAAUGCGUAGAGAUCUGGAGGAAUACCGGUGGCGAAGGCGGCCCCCUGGACGAAGACUGACGCUCAGGUGCGAAAGCGUGGGGAGCAAACAGGAUUAGAUACCCUGGUAGUCCACGCCGUAAACGAUGUCGACUUGGAGGUUGUGCCCUUGAGGCGUGGCUUCCGGAGCUAACGCGUUAAGUCGACCGCCUGGGGAGUACGGCCGCAAGGUUAAAACUCAAAUGAAUUGACGGGGGCCCGCACAAGCGGUGGAGCAUGUGGUUUAAUUCGAUGCAACGCGAAGAACCUUACCUGGUCUUGACAUCCACGGAAGUUUUCAGAGAUGAGAAUGUGCCUUCGGGAACCGUGAGACAGGUGCUGCAUGGCUGUCGUCAGCUCGUGUUGUGAAAUGUUGGGUUAAGUCCCGCAACGAGCGCAACCCUUAUCCUUUGUUGCCAGCGGUCCGGCCGGGAACUCAAAGGAGACUGCCAGUGAUAAACUGGAGGAAGGUGGGGACGACGUCAAGUCAUCAUGGCCCUUACGACCAGGGCUACACACGUGCUACAAUGGCGCAUACAAAGAGAAGCGACCUCGCGAGAGCAAGCGGACCUCAUAAAGUGCGUCGUAGUCCGGAUUGGAGUCUGCAACUCGACUCCAUGAAGUCGGAAUCGCUAGUAAUCGUGGAUCAGAAUGCCACGGUGAAUACGUUCCCGGGCCUUGUACACACCGCCCGUCACACCAUGGGAGUGGGUUGCAAAAGAAGUAGGUAGCUUAACCUUCGGGAGGGCGCUUACCACUUUGUGAUUCAUGACUGGGGUGAAGUCGUAACAAGGUAACCGUAGGGGAACCUGCGGUUGGAUCACCUCCUUACCUUAAAGAAGC